UUAAUUCAAGUGCUAUUAUCACUAAUUUUAUGUUAAAAUAACAUGGCAAGCUAAUCUCACUGCUUGGCAAUAAAGGAGGGAAGACUCUCUUGAAGUCAAAAGCAUGGUUCAUUGUUGAGUUUUGUUCUGGUUAAAGUUGGUGUUUUUAUGAUAUAUGUCUACGGGUUCAUCAAGACGCUCAAAAACACAAUUGAUGGACCAGAUUGCGUAAAAUGGUUGACUGCAAGUGAAUCAAACGGAUUAAAUUAUCAACAUGGAAAGUAUUAGUGAUCAAAGGACAAAAUGACAACGUAAAUUGUUGCCCUGAUGACAAAAAAAAACAAAAGGCGAAAGAUGACAUAUAUCAAGGGUUAUUAAAGUGGUUCCUGGUGAAACAUAUCUCAAGAUUUGGCGAUGAAGACAACUAGGAGUUAAGUUCAAUAUGAAGACGAUUUAGGAGAUGAAAAGAAGUUCUCUCAUCAUUGAUUGAAGUCCAUAAAAGCGUAAAGGAAGACGUUGAUGUCUUUAAGUAAUGUUAAGAAGCAGACAACAACAAGCGAGCAAGCAAGCAAGCAAGCAAAAAGGUCCCAAAACAAUUUAACUGAUUGUUGAUAACAAUAAGAAAAAGUAAAGUAAGGUUAUGGUUUUCACCCUUCAAAUAGCCUUAAGCAAAUAAAUGUACAAAGAGAUGAAUGAAAAGGAAGAAGAAGAAGAUGAAAGAGGGUGGUUCAUCAUCAUUAUCGACAUCAUCUUUAUCAUCAUAAGUAUAAAUAGAUUUUUCAAUAUAAAAAAAAGUAUAAUCACUUUUCUUCUUCACCUUCCUUUUCAUUCUCUUUUUUUUAAGGCUGGUGACAACCAUUACUUAACUAUAUUUUGGACCCUUUUCAAUUAUCAUCAUCAUCAAGGGACUCCAUAAAUUGUGAUUCAAGUAGAUGACUUAAUAAAAGUUGGUCUGAUUGCUGGAAAAAAUCAUUCUGAUUAAAGUCAUUUUAAUAUAAGAUGAAAACCAAAAAUUUAGAUCCAUUCUAAGCUUAAAAACUGGACAAUUGUUAAAACCUUUUUUAAUACAUCUUUUCACAACCUAACAAUGGACACCAUUUUAACCCUGAAUUUAACAAACACAUUAACUUGAUUGUUAUAGUUAGUGUUGAUUGAUUACCACUUGACUUUACACAUUUCAAAUGUUUAACAAAACCUUUAAGGUAAAUCAAUUUUAAAGUGUUUUCAAGUAACACCGAGAAAAAUAACUAACCAAAUCAAGUACAAUAUAAAAUUUUCAUCUUUACCCGAAUCAAGUCUAGUUUGCAAACCAUGAGUUGUAUAACAUUUGUAAAUGAACCGGUAACCCGAUGAAAAUGUUUAAUUGUAAUCCCAAAAUGGUUUGAAAAAAAAGAUGCAAUUGUAAUAGUGAAA